UAAAAGCAAUAGCAAAUCAAUUGAAAAAUUGAGACGCAAAACCACAGAUCUAAGGUAGUCAUACUAUGAUGGCUGGGUUGCCGUA
rnacentral:ncRNA from 1 species